rnacentral:lncRNA from 1 species
GUCCAACCUGUGCCAACCCAGAGAGAAUGGGGAAUUCAGGACUAAUAAGCAAUGAGCAAAUAAAACAAGUCAGGAAAAGAUUUAGGCUGCAUAACUUCUCUGGUGAAGCUGAAAUCUAGAAAGAGUUAUAGCAUUUACUCUGAAAAGGCAGAGCAUGCAAAAAGAAGCAGAUAAUAUUUUGUAGGUUUCCUACUGUAGUCCAGGUAUGUAAAAAUGUUGCACGGAUAUUGGACUGACAUGACAUCACAAGACACGGAUAUUGGACUGACAUGACAUCACAAGACCUUGGGCUGGCCUUGGCCUGUGUUGGCUUUAGUUUGUUUGAGCAACAGGCUAGUGGGCAAGUGGCCACUGUCUCACCUGCUUCUGCUGAAGCUCUGUGAACCCAUCCAUAAAGUCAGGAUGGAGUAAAAAGCCUGAGCAAUGGAGGACAUCAUGGCACGACAAACAGCCACCCUUUCUGUCAGGAUGACUUUAUUUUCCUGGAGCUGUGGGAGGCCUUAGUGGAAGGAAGAGCUGUCAGUUUGAUAAAAAACUUUUAUAAAGCAUGAUGAGAACAAUGUAUUUUGAUGAGGCCAUUCCUUGAAACACAGAAGCCAGUUCUCCAUCUCAACAUAAUACACUUUGGUAUUGUCUGUUGGACAUGUAACAGUUGGAUUUCAUGCCAGUGCAGCUGCCCACCAGACAGAUUACCACUCAGCUGCCUCUAG